rnacentral:rRNA from 1 species
GAUGAACGCUAGCGGCAGGCUUAAUACAUGCAAGUCGAGGGGCAGCAGGUCCCGCAGCAAUGCGGGAUGCUGGCGACCGGCAAACGGGUGCGGAACACGUACAGAACCUUCCUUUAAGUGGGGAAUAGCCCGGGGAAACCCGGAUUAAUACCCCGUAACAUAAUGAAGUGGCAUCACUUUAUUAUUAUAGCAGCAAUGCGCUUGAAGAUGGCUGUGCGGCUGAUUAGGUAGUUGGCGGGGUAACGGCCCACCAAGCCUACGAUCAGUAACUGGGGUGAGCGCACGACCAGUCACACGGGCACUGAGACACGGGCCCGACUCCUACGGGAGGCAGCAGUAAGGAAUAUUGGGCAAUGGACGCAAGUCUGACCCAGCCAUGCCGCGUGGAGGAUGAAGGUCCUCUGGAUUGUAAACUUCUUUUAUCUGGGAAGAAAUCUAUUUUUUCUAAAGUAGUUGACGGUACCAGAUGAAUAAGCACCGGCUAACUCCGUGCCAGCCGCCGCAGUAA